rnacentral:rRNA from 1 species
ACGAACGCUGGCGGCAGGCAUAAUACAUGCAAGUUGAACGGCAGCACAGGUAGCAAUACUGGGUGGCGAGUGGCGCACGGGUGCGUAACACGUAUGCAACCUACCCUAUACAGGCGAAUAACCUUUAGAAAUGAGGGCUAAUACGCCGUAGUAUUACAGGUGGGCAUCUAUUUGUAAUUAAAGAUUUAUCGGUAUAGGAUGGGCAUGCGUCCCAUUAGUUAGUUGGUAAGGUAACGGCUUACCAAGACGAUGAUGGGUAGGG